rnacentral:tRNA from 1 species
CAGGGAGACAACAAAAUGUUUAAUAUUAUAAUUUUGUCACCUUAGGUCGAUCGGUAUCUCACAUUCUUAAUUUAUUAAGGAUUUCAUUUCCUAAGUUUUUCUAGGUCACACCCAUUUUUUCGUGGGCCAUUAGCUCAGGUGGUUAGAGCGCACCCCUGAUAAGGGUGAGGUCCCUGGUUCAAGUCCAGGAUGGCCCAUAUCUCUGUGUUGGGGGUAUAGCUCAGUUGGUAGAGCGCCUGCUUUGCAAGCAGGAUGUCAGCGGUUCGAGUCCGCUUACCUCCACUGAUUACCACCUCUUCCAUAAGCUGGAGAAAGGAAAUUUUUGGAAUUGUGAUCAAAAUCUGAACGAAUCUAGCUUCCUAAUGAGAUCACCUUAUUAAGAUGCUGGACUCAUGAAUUAAUUUCAUUGUUUUCAGAGAACCUUGACAACUGCAUAGAUUAUUUUAAAGACAAUAAGCAUCUUUAUUGAUGCAGAUUUAUUAUUUGUGCGAAUGCAUUAAUAACAAUUCUAUUAAGCUGAUGCUUCUAAAUUUUAGAAGUUGUU